AUUUUAUCCUUGAGCUAAGACCGCCAAAUUAGCAGAGAGGUGUUCCACUAUGGAGCAUGAUGAAGAGCGUCAAAGGUGGAUGUUUGCUGAACAUGAUGAACGCUGUGAAAAUGGCGAGAAUUGUGUUGAGCCAAUGAAUGCAAAAAGUCCCAAGCUACAUAGAAGAGUUGGCCAUGUUGCUGUGAAGUACAAAAACUUUGUAGUUGUUUGGGGUGGAUAUGAGGAUGAUGAACAGUAUGACAACAAUGCAUACACAAGGGAGCCCUAUUAUCACCCUGCAGAUGAAGUGAUGCUCUAUGACUGUGAAUAUGAAGUUUGGCACGGCGUGCGGAUCCACGGCGACCCUCCCCCUCGGCUGUGUGGGGCCACUGCCGGAGUCAUCGGCGACAGAAUGCUGCUCUUUGGCGGGUUCAUGGAAGACCGUCAGCUGGGCACCUCUAACGUGCGUACCGUCUACGAGCUGGACCUGAACAAGAUGGCGUGGAAGCAGAUCUGGGCCGACGGCGUGCCGCCCCUGGCCUGCGACAAACUCGUCAGCUGGUGCUACGAAGGGAAGUUCUACUUGUUCGGGGGGUUCGGCCCCUGGCCGGACGACCCGGGCUACUACCGGGACGUCCGGCUGGCCGCGCACCCGGGAGCCAUGCGCGAGGAUCGCUGCUGGAACGACCAGCUGGUGCGACUCGCGGACGGUCGGUGGGAGUGGCCCGAGACCAGAGGCGACCGACCCACCCCGCGAGCCGCACACGCCGCCGCCCUGGUCGGCAGUAGGGCGUACAUCUUCGGUGGCCGACUGGGCAACCGGCUCAACGACUUCUACUGCCUCGACCUGGAGACCAUGGUCUGGACUAAACUGGAGCCGUCCGAUCCGGCCGCGCCGGUGCCGGCCGCCCGCUCGUGGCACUCGCUCACCGCCCUGGACGAUCACGGCCGUCUCCUCCUCUACGGCGGGUUUGACGCACUGAGCCAGCCGCUGGCCGACCCGUGGAUCUGGAGUCCGAGCGGUCAGCGGUGGUCGCCGUGCACGUGGCUGAGCGAGCCGCCCAUCCGCAUGUGGCACGCCGCCACCCCCGGAGAGGCCGGCGAGGUAGUGCUGUUUGGCGGACUGGCCAGCAGUGUGCUACUCGAUCAGCCCACCUACGCGUCGGGAUCGGUGUUCCUACGAGAAACGCCCAAGUCGCUCAUCAGGCUGUGUCUGGACGUGCUGGAUGCGAACCGGGAGACGUCGGUGCCGCUCGUAUGGUUCACGCCGUCGCCGCUGGCCGAUGGCAUCAUCGCCCGGCUGACGGCGUGCGGCAGCAAGCCGGUGGUGUGAUCCGAGUCAUCCGCGGCUGCCCGGCGGCCGGCAUUUGUAACUGGCUGUGGUCGUGCGACGCCAACGCCAACUCAACGCGUGGUGGCGAUACAGUUCCGUGCGAGUGGGAAAAUCGUGGCAUUUCAGCGGGAGUAUUUGUACCGUCUGCCAAAUACGGGGUGCGCUUUCUGAGUAUGAAGGUGCGCGGAUGGGAACUGAGGGUGCUGUUCAAAUAUCAGGUACGAUACGAUUUGUGCGCGAGAGCGUCCGCGUUGGUGUGUAAAGCCGGCGUCUUACUGGUAUCUGUGCGACUGUCUGUGCGAAGUUUCUGAGAUCUCCAAACAGGUCCUAGUCUCUGAGGAGCCGUUUAUCCUCCUGGCCUCCGAUAUUUCAACAAAGACGCUCACCAUGCAAGCUUAUGAUGUGUCCAGCCAGAUACUUCUCUGAAUGAGUCAGUAAUUGGUCAUAGGGCGGUGGCCACUCCCGCCCGUGCCGUCCUCCGCUGUGCGUCCUCUAGUCCUGGCCCGUGAGCCUCCUGCCUGCCUCCUGAGUGGGCGAUUUCGCCGCCUGCCGCCUCCGGUCGUACAAACUCUGGUGAGUUGAGAGCUAACACUCUGUCACAUGUCCCGAGUUAUGUGCCCGUGAUAUGCAUUGGCGGGUAACACUGGUGUGAGUUAGCUGGAGCCGAGCUGUGCGAUGACCCGUGAUAUAAGCGUGACAAUAAUAGUGACGGUACAGGCCAGAAGUGAGUGAGGCUGAUGUUUAGUCGUAUUCAUGAGAAGUGCUUUCAACUGAUACAUCUCUGGUGACCCCCAUGAAGUUGUGUUUUAGCGUGUUGUGUAUGAUGCAAGUGUGCAAUAUCGGCUCAACGAAUAAACUCAAUGCCUUUGAACGCA
rnacentral:misc_RNA from 1 species